rnacentral:rRNA from 1 species
AUUGAACACUGGCGGCAGGCCUAACACAUGCAAGUCGAACGAGUGGCGGACGGGUGAGUAAUGUCUGGGAAACUGCCUGAUGGAGGGGGAUAACUACUGGAAACGGUAGCUAAUACCGCAUACCAUCAGAUGUGCCCAGAUGGGAUUCGCUGGUUGUUGGGGUAACGGCGCACCAAGGCGACGCUCCCUAGCUGGGCUGAGAGGAUGACCAGCCACACUGUAACUGUGACACGGUCCAGACGCCUACGGGAGUCAGCAGUGGGGAAUAUUGCACAAUGGGCGCAAUCCUGAUGCAGCCAUGCCGCGUGGAUGAAGAAGGCCUUCGGGUUGUAAAGUACUUUCAGUGGGGAGGCGUUACCCGCAGAAGAAGCACCGGCUAACUCCGUGCCAGCAGCCGCGGUAAUAC